UGUUAUCACUAAAUAACAAUCUUGCUGAUAAAAAAUACUAAAUUGCUUGUAAUACGAAUACUACAAGAAUUUUAAAAUGGCAGUUGAUUUUAACAACUGGUAAAAUGUUAUAAUUAAAUUUAAAACAAUUAUACCAUUGCCUUGCUAUACCGACUAUUUACCGUCUUGUGGCCAAACCUAAUUAAGGCGACGAAGUUUAUGAUGUACAGCUGCUGUCGAAAAUUCAAACAUGGAAAAAUCUUGAUACCACAAUUUCCAUUGGUGUUUGCAACACCGUGUUUUCUAUAUCUUCCCUUGGUAAUAAACUAAAGAUAUGGACUGUCAAUUGAAAUUGUCAAAGUCUUGGACUGUAUCGCGCAAACCAAGCCCGAAGCCAAUACGCAAACAGUCAAUGCCGACGUCCAACCUACCGACCAAGCCAACAGAGAUGCCGCCAAACCCAUGGACGCACGAACAGUGGCUUUAAAUUGGUUAUUUUUGCACAUUAUUCAGUCGUGUCGUUUGAUUUCUUCAAUUUGUUGACUGUGUCCAUUAGCUUUUAUAUUCAUCUAUUGUAGUUACUUUUUUAUAUAUACUUCCUGUUAAUCCUUACUCUUUCUUGUCAAUUUAUUUCUCGGCACUUUCCAAAGCCAAUCAUUUUUAAUACUGUAUGUUUUUUUAUGUUUAUCUAUUAUGUAAUGUAUUUUGUUAUUUCAAUCACCAACAACGUCGGCCGCCAAACACUAGGCCCUCUGGCCAGUCUCAACCGUCGGGUACGAUCAAUGGUUUCGAAUGCGUGCAAGACCCUCAAAGACAAUCUGCUGUCCGGAAUGCAUGAAGGCCUAGGCAGUACAGUCCCAUUCGAAGCCACAGACGUCAAUGCGGCCGGCCGAGCAACAGGAACGCGGUGGCCCGCUUCCGCCAAACCACUACCGCCAUCGUGGACGGCGAGUAUGAAGCCAGGUUAACGGCUAUCGCUAUGAGCUAGAGAAGAAGGCCCGGACACGUCCAACGAUAAAGGAUUUCACUAUUCGGGGUUUUUACAUACCCUUGUGGCUUGUUGUUCUUGUUGAUUAUUUUGUAUAAUUAUUGUACUUGGCAUUUUUCCUAUUUGUUAAUUGUUUUUAAAUCGUUUGUUACCAUGUUAUUCUGUGUAAAUAAAAAAAAAAAAUU